UGGGGAAUAUUGCACAAUGGAGGGAACUCUGAUGCAGCGACGCCGCGUGAACGAAGAGGGCUUUCGAGUCGUAAAGUUCUUUUAUAUGGGAAGAUAAUGACGGUACCAUAAGAAAAAGCCCCGGCUAACUACGUGCCAGCAGCCGCGGUAAUACGUAGGGGGCUAGCGUUGUCCGGAAUCACUGGGCGUAAAGGGUUCGCAGGCGGAAAUGCAAGUCAGGUGUAAAAGGCAGUAGCUUAACUACUGUAAGCAUUUGAAACUGCAUAUCUUGAGAAGAGUAGAGGUAAGUGGAAUUUUUAGUGUAGCGGUGAAAUGCGUAGAUAUUAAAAAGAAUACCGGUGGCGAAGGCGACUUACUGGGCUCAUUCUGACGCUGAGGAACGAAAGCGUGGGUAGCAAACAGG
rnacentral:rRNA from 3 species